GAUACUGUCAGUCUUGAGUAUAGUUGAAGUGGGCGGAAUGUAGCAUGUAGCGGUGAAAUGCAUAGAUAUGCUACAGAACACCAAUAGCGAAGGCAGCUCACUAAGUUAUAACUGACGCUCAUGCACGAAAGCGUGGGGAUCAAACAGGAUUAGAUACCCUGGUAGUCCACGCUGUAAACGAUGAUCACUCGUUGUUGGCAAUACAUCGUCAGCGACUAAGCGAAAGUGAUAAGUGAUCCACCUGGGGAGUACGGUCGCAAGAUUGAAACUCAAAGGAAUUGACGGGGGCCCGCACAAGCGGUGGAGCAUGUGGUUUAAUUCGAUGAUACGCGAGGAACCUUACCUGGGCUCAAACGCAUGAUGACGUAUGGUGAAAGCUAUAUUUCUUCGGACAUUAUGCGAGGUGCUGCAUGGUUGUCGUCAGCUCGUGCCGUGAGGUGUCGGGUUAAGUCCCAUAACGAGCGCAACCCCUAUCAUUAGUUGCCAUCAGGUUAAGCCGGGGACUCUAAUGAAACUGCCUACGCAAGUAGUGAGGAAGGCGGGGAUGACGUCAAAUCAGCACGGCCCUUACGUCCAGGGCUACACACGUGCUACAAUGGCCAGUACAAAGGGCAGCUACCUGGUGGCAGGAUGCUAAUCUCAAA
rnacentral:rRNA from 1 species